CCACGCACUUUGCGUUGCCUGGCGUGGAAGAGCGAUUCCGCAUCGCUCAGCCGUAUCUUGAUUCAGAAUACUCUGAAUGUGGGUGCUGAGCUGGCAUAGGUGCACGAGCGCAGGAGUGUUCAAGCGAAAUAUGCAAUCAACAAUGCCACACAGACCCAUACCGCCCGAAGCUGGCUCGGUGUGUCCGCAGCGAGUCUUCAUUGCUGAAAAAGUAACGACUGGCAAUCUUUUGAGGCUGCUAAGUACGGUGCGCGCUGCGCCAACUUCUAUAGGAUCCCCCAGAGACGUGCCAGUACCAUGAAGCUCUAUACCACCAGAAGAGCUGUUAUCAUUACCAGACUGGAGCAUGGUGUGCAAAAUCACGCUCUGCUGCGAUGGGCCAUGGGGGGCUGUGAGAGAGCUUGAGCGUCCAUCUUGGUUGACAGAAGAUGCAGAAGCGUAAAACAUGCAGUAGUCGUCGCGCACGCCGUCGCUGUGCGGUGUCAAGAGCAGCAACGUUGAUCCUUCUCCUCGAACGUAGCCGUUUGCAGCCAUGUCCAGAGUCUUACAUCGCCCAUCAUCUGCCAGCAUCCCCGCAGUUCUAAAAACAAUAGUCGUCGUCGGGUUCAGGGUGAUGUUCACGCCGCAACAUAUCAUGCUGUCGCAUUCUCCCGUGAGCACUGCGUUACGCGCUACAUGUGAUCCAACUAAAGACGACGAGCACGCUGUGUCGAUGCUUGCACACGUUCCGCGCAGAUUGUAUGUGAAAGAAAUCCGUCCACACGCAACACUGAGUGAGCCACCAGUUGCUUGAAGCUUGCCGGCACGAGAGGUGAUCGCGCUGUAAUCAGUGCUAGAUAUACCGACAACAACGCCACAUCCCUCGCUAUAUUGGCCGUUUACUGCAUGUGCGCGCCCAUCUAAGGCGCGCGCUAGAAGGAUGCGCUGCUGUGGGUCCACGGCAGUAGCUUCUGCACGUCGCAUUGAAAACAGGGCAAUAUCAAAAUAUUCAAUGUUAUGGAGAAAUCUACCAAACCGUAUCAGGGCGUAAUCGUCGGCUCUAAUAUCCCACCGAUUUUCAGGCACACCACUUACGUCAUCCAGUGCGUGCUGAUACUGCCCGGGGCUGCUGACUGAUGAUAUGCACACUUGAGCUGAGUACGUGACAUCAAUAGUACUAUUACGGAGCACCUGUGCACUUCCGUAAUUCGAUUUUCCAUGCGACAGUUCACCCGCCACGGCUUCUGCAAGUGCAUAUACGCUAGGAUGAUCAAAUACAACCGUCGACGGGAGCUGCACAGCGAAUUCAUCGUUCAGUCUGCUUCGCAAUUCAACGGCGCCGAGUGAGUCAAGACCCGCAUCCAACAGUGGCUCCUUUGCAUCCAAUGGUCUACCAACCGCAUCAUUCACUAUACUCGCUACACGUCCCGCAAUUUCGUCGCCGUGGAUCACGCAUGAUGGUACGCCACGUUCUCCGGCUGAUAUCUUGAUCUUGAGUUGUGUGCUAUUUUGAUCGACGUAUGGUGCAUUUGGCGGGGAAACCGCACUGUGUGAUGUAGAUACACUCCAUGCAUGUAAGCCGGUUGCACGCAGUGGGCAAACGGCGUAGAUUGAGAACAUAUUUGGAGGUUGAAUGAGAGUGCGUAGCGUUCUCAGCGCAGUGUGUGGGUCAAUCACUUCUAUCCCUAGAGAUCCAAAGUUUCUGGGUGUACCCACUGCAGAACGCACAGCCAUGCCAUAGGAUCCACCCCAGGGUCCCCACUGGAGACUCAUGCACCGCCAUCCCAUCGUCGUGCCGAGUUGAGCGAGUGUGUCGAGCAGUGCGUUAGCACCUGCAUAGUUAGUUUGACCCGGCGAGCCGAGCAAUGCAGCUAUGGACGAGAAGAAAACAUGUGUCAAAGACAUUUGAGGGAGAUUUUCAUGACACACCGCUUGUGCACCUUGUGUUUUGUUUGCAAACGCAAUCGAGACUGUGGAAAACGUUUGCUUCAUUAGGAUUGAAUCUUUGAGAACACCGCUCAUGUGCAAUACCCGACCGACAUUUCGCACACUACACGAAACCAAGCGUUCUGUUUCGCUUCUGACACAAAGGUUUACACGUUGGAUGGUAAGCAGGGAUGUAAAUUUUGCCGGCGCGAUAUGUUUUCCUCUUCCGGAACGCCCCACGAGUACGAAGGGUCUAUCACAGAUGGAUGCAUUCCAUUCAUAGAUAAGCGCUCCGAUGCCACCGACACCACCGGUGUAAAUGUCGCUGCACGGGUGUAGAAGCGCAUUAGAGUCGCACUGUGCGAUGUGCUUUGCCAUCGCUCGACGUGGGUCUCGCCACAACAUUUUUGCGUGUAAAUUCGGACAGACCUUCGAUAACGUCGGCGUGCGGACAUGGCGAUUCGAUAUUGAUUUGGCAUGCACCUCGUUCGAAUCAGAAUUUGAAUGAAGAAAGUCGGUUGCUUUUGCGUGCACAAUACUUGAUGCGCCCAAAUCAACGCACACUAAACGCUGUGACAUCUCAUGUGCGCCACUCCUGAAGAUACCCCACAUGGCACCAGCGACCGGAAUACAUCGACCGAUAGAGCUCUGCGUGUCAGCACAUAGGCGUGGACAGGCUGACACCAGCUCUGUUGCUGUCGUGCGAAUCACGCAUAGAUUGGAACUUGCAUGUAAACUCUGCACGGCAAGAGAAGCCACGCGUGAUGCACUUUGCCUCCCCGCAGCUAAAUGCGAGUAUACGUUCGUGACACCUUCUGUACGGAGAAGCGGUCCUCUGUAUGUGUUCUCGGUUUUCCACGUGGCGCGAUAUAUCAUAUCGAUGGCGUGUCUUCCUUGCCUCCCACCAUAAUAGCGCUCUGAUCCCAUCGCUGCAGGCUCUGAGUGAGACGCAACCUUUUUGCCCAGUAGUUCGUGCAUCGCAAGUUGAUUUUCCGUCGCUUGCUGUGCUAUAUGGUCACUCUGCAUCUUUUGCGGCGAGAAGCGUGAUAGUGCGUGGUCUCGGGACCGUGCCAACGAAGUUUGGUGUGUGCAGAUUUCGAGACUCACUGGCAAGUGCAAUUCAAAGCUAUCAUCACUGAAAGUAUUUAGCCUGAGAGCUGAUAAGCUCUGCACGUGCGCAUCGAGCUCUGCGGCAAACGACUGAUCUAGUGUUUGCACCUUUUUACUAUGAACUUUGAAGUGCAAAUCAAGGCUGGAUUUGGAGACGUUUGCGUAAUACACUUUCGGCGAUGGAGUUCGUUGCGUGAGCAUGGUCUGCACUACUUUACAAGACGUGUGCCCUGCUCGUUGUGACGAUACGGAAAUACUGCCGGUAGUUUGCGAUAUUUUGAACGAUAAUGCAUCGUUGCGCCAAGUAUCCAACAAACAGGCAGCAUGUAUUUGCGUGCGACGCACCACGUUAACAGUCAUUGUGUGGAGUUGCUUUACACAAGUGAGGGUCAGCUCCAGAAAGCUGGUAGCGGGGAGAACCAAGCGGCCACGAACGCAGUGAUCGCGAUCUAUAUGUCGUGUUUUUAAUGGUGGGAGUUGAAUCCGUAGGCAUUCGCUCGUCUCGACUGCGUGCACGAGCCGCAGGCCAAAGGCAGCAUGUGAUAUCCAACACUCGAUGCUGUGUUGCAUGACAGAAGCAUCUGGCAAGGAUUUCAUCACGUAAUCGCGUCGAACAGAUACGUGUGCGUUCGUUCCUUGAAAUGCAAACGCGCUCACUCCUCGGUUUACGGCGUGUGCAUCACAUUGCCACGCACUUUGCGUUGCCUGGCGUGGAAGAGCGAUUCCGCAUCGCUCAGCCGUAUCUUGAUUCAGAAUACUCUGAAUGUGGGUGCUGAGCUGGCAUAGGUGCACGAGCGCAGGAGUGUUCAAGCGAAAUAUGCAAUCAACAAUGCCACACAGACCCAUACCGCCCGAAGCUGGCUCGGUGUGUCCGCAGCGAGUCUUCAUUGCUGAAAAAGUAACGACUGGCAAUCUUUUGAGGCUGCUAAGUACGGUGCGCGCUGCGCCAACUUCUAUAGGAUCCCCCAGAGACGUGCCAGUACCAUGAAGCUCUAUACCACCAGAAGAGCUGUUAUCAUUACCAGACUGGAGCAUGGUGUGCAAAAUCACGCUCUGCUGCGAUGGGCCAUGGGGGGCUGUGAGAGAGCUUGAGCGUCCAUCUUGGUUGACAGAAGAUGCAGAAGCGUAAAACAUGCAGUAGUCGUCGCGCACGCCGUCGCUGUGCGGUGUCAAGAGCAGCAACGUUGAUCCUUCUCCUCGAACGUAGCCGUUUGCAGCCAUGUCCAGAGUCUUACAUCGCCCAUCAUCUGCCAGCAUCCCCGCAGUUCUAAAAACAAUAGUCGUCGUCGGGUUCAGGGUGAUGUUCACGCCGCAACAUAUCAUGCUGUCGCAUUCUCCCGUGAGCACUGCGUUACGCGCUACAUGUGAUCCAACUAAAGACGACGAGCACGCUGUGUCGAUGCUUGCACACGUUCCGCGCAGAUUGUAUGUGAAAGAAAUCCGUCCACACGCAACACUGAGUGAGCCACCAGUUGCUUGAAGCUUGCCGGCACGAGAGGUGAUCGCGCUGUAAUCAGUGCUAGAUAUACCGACAACAACGCCACAUCCCUCGCUAUAUUGGCCGUUUACUGCAUGUGCGCGCCCAUCUAAGGCGCGCG
rnacentral:lncRNA from 1 species